CCGAACUCUGUGCUUGGGUUGGGGGGCGGUGGCGGCGGCGGCCCCGGCGUUGUGGCUGUUUCCUGACCGCGGGCUCCUCCUGUCCGAAAUGGACAGAGGAACAAGGGCUGGAAAACUGGACUCUAAGUGGACACCACGACUCAGACAUUUUGUAUUUGAGAAGAAGAAGAAGAAGAAGAUGAUGCACACCAAAAAGCGACAGAGGAGGUGAACUGAAUGCAGUAAGAAGGUGAGUUAGCGUGUGGUGUCAGAGAGGAAGAUGGGGAAUCCUUGGGAGCCAGCGCGAUCCCUGGGAAGGAAUAAGGAGCUGAAAGGAGCCGACGAGGAGCCCUGAGGAUGACUGGGGAGCCUUGGGGAACUGAGGCACGACCUGGGGAGCUGAGAUGAGUUUUGGGGGACCGUGGCCCUUGGGAGAAUGGAGGAGACCUGGGAAGGACUGGAGAGUCUUGGGGAACGGAAGUGAGUCCUGGGGAGAAGGGGGGAUUCCUGGGGUAUACAGAAAAGCCCUGGGUAGAUGAGGUGAGCUUGGGGGACCCAUGGAGAGCAUUGCAGAGUCCUGGGGAGACCAAGGCAGAUCAAGUGAGGCCUUGGGAGCCCUGGGGAAAUGAGACAAGCCCUGGGGAGAACUUGGGUGCCUUGAGGAAUCAAGGCGAGCCUUGGGCAGGACUGUGGAUCUCAAGGGAGCCGUAGGGAGAUGAGGCCCUACCUGGAGAGGGAGGGUCUGGGGAGCCCUGGAAGAUGAGGGGAGGCCUUGGGAGUCCUGGAGAGGCAAGGCAAGCCCUAGUUUAUUUUUUAGAAGAGAUUCUUAUGGAAUCUAAGUCUACUCUGUCCUUCAGUCCUUCCCAGAACAUAGUUCUGGUAGAAGUUAGGUAGGAUGUGUGGUCUUGCUAGAAAUUCAGUGUAAUGCAAUAGCAUUUUGAUUAUUUUUUUUUAAGGAAAUGUAAGUACAUAAUUUCAAUAAUAAUAUAGUUACUGCAUUUAAUGAGCUGUUGGGAAGUAAGAUGUGGGAAAGCAAGAUGUGUGGUUCCAGCCACCUGGAUGAUAAAGGAAGAUCAAUACUAACAUGAGCAUUUGGACGGUGAAAGACAUAAGGGCCUUGGACAGAUUACUUUGAAGUAUGUUUCUCGUAAUUGUAAGAAGUUAUAGCCCAGACUUGUGAGAAUGGCAUCUCGGGCCGGAUAACCGCCCCCAAAUGCAUGGGAUGUGUGAAUGUCCUUGGGCCUGGUCUGUGAAUGAGUGGAGAAACAAGUGAGACAAACAUCACAUGAGUUAAGUGUGGUCUUAAUAACAAUUAGUGGAAAAACACCUUUUUGUAAACAUCUUAGUCCAUGCUCGUUCCUGUAAAUCCUAUAAAUUGUCAAUGGUGAAUAAAGAAAGCAGCCUAGGCCUAGGUCAGCUCUCAGCUUGGCUACGCUCUGCGCUCCUUCCUGAACAAGAUCUCUGCCUCUGUGUCCCAGUCAGGCUAUAGAGGUAAACAAGUUCUCUGCCUGCUACAUGUACUGCCUGAGCAGUAGCUCCUUUCCUAAUCUGAGAGGAUGGACAGAAAAACACAAAUGAGCAGGUUGCUAAUGAUUUUGUGUCUUGACAGCACUUAUCCUUUUGAGUCUGUCUCUGUAGAUCUCGAAAAAGAGUCAGUUUUAUAUCCAUCAUUAAUGCCAUCACAGCUGUGUAAAGAUAAGGCCGGAAUUUGUGUGGAGCUGGGUCAGGAGUCUAAAACUCUGCCCUCAGCACCUCCUUUGCCUGAUUUUAAUGAUGCUUAUACAGCACACAGUAACCCCUUCAUGACUAAGACAGCAGAACACAAAGGGGUGAUGCAAAAUGCUGUGGAGAAUGGCGAUUUUUCUUUCACCUUUCCAGUUACUUACAAACCAUAACAACCACCAGAACAUGACGGAAUACCUACUUCUGUGUAUUGCCUUUCUGAAAAUCAAGCAGCUUGUCAGGAAUCUGAGUUAAUUGUUUUAUUGGUUGUUGUUACAAUUGUUUCUUUGUGAUAAUGUUUGUAUAAGUGCACUGUAAGCCUGCUCCCCACUUUUCCCACUCGUGCCGCAAGCCACUCCGUGCUUCCCCCCCUCCCUCCCUCUUCUCAUGGUUUUUACUUACGAGAUGGGGUUGGGAACGACUUUUUUCAGUCAUGUUCCUAAGAAAUUAGUACUGGGAGGUGUUUUAGAACAUAGGAAAGCACUUGGAAAUAUGAGGAAGGAAGAUCUUGUGAAAUAUUGUAAUUAAUGGUGGCUGCUGUGUAAGUUCAAUGAUUGGGAAAAGUGUCCAGAGAAUAGAAUCUUGAGGUAUAACACUUUGCUGUUUCUAAAGCAAGAAGAGCAGGACAAAAAUAAAACUCUACAAGAGAUCAUUGAAUCAUUUCAGACAAUUUUACAGGCGGAGUGGUUUGAACUUCAACAAGCUGGGAGAGAAUUAACUGAUAACACACAAGUCAUAGAAAACUUGCUGAACUCUGCGAGAUACUUUUCCUUAUUAACCUGUUUUCUUUGUAGGUAUCUGUUUAAGCAUAUUACAGUUUAAUAGGUCUUUGUCUGUUAUAUGGUACAGUAAGUACGUAAACUGUUAAAUAAUGAGAAUCCAUGGACUGAAAAUGUGCGUUUUGUGAUUGUACAGAAGACCGUAACUCAGUUCUUUACUGCGUGAAUGUGAUGAUAAGAUUUUGUGUGUGACAGCUGCUACUUUUCUUUCUAGCAUGCUAGCUUUAUUCCAAUAUCCAGACUUGCGCAACUCUGUGAUAGGCUGUGUCUCAUCUCGAUGUGCUGGAUUUGGCUCUUUUGUAUGCACAUCAAGUAAAGAAUCCUGGUUUUGGAAUAACAGUUGCAGCACACCAGAUGAGACACUAAUAAUAUAGCCUUGCCCAGUCCAGCUUGUUGCUGCGGCGGCGGGGAGGCGGGUGCCGAUUGGGCUCCAGUGCGCACUGACCCGUUUUGUCAGGGAGACCCAGUGGCACCUCUACCUGGCUGAGCAGUGAGCGGCCCAAAGGUGCAAUGCAAAAAUCGAGAUAUUGUCUUGAAUAAGUGUAACUGUGAUCUAUCUGCAUAUUUGAACUUGGUAUUUGGUUUUCAUAUCUGAGCUCAGCAUUUUAAUUUGCAUAUUUCUAUUUGGUACCAAAAGAAUCUUGUUUGGGGAGAUAAUUACAAAAUGGGAACCGGUUCCGCUACUAAAAUACCACCUUGCUCCCCCUUAGGAUGCAUCCUUAUACAUUAGAGUAAUUGCUCUUAUUGUUAUUUAAUAAUUUUGAGACCAGAAAAGAAUUGAAGUUGUUAAACUCUGUAAGACAUUGCAAACGGUAAAUGGGGCUGAGGAAUGUAACUAUUGCUCAGCUAAUUAGAAUUGCAUAUAGAGUGUAUUAUGGCUGGAAUGAAUUGGGAAAAUAAAAAUGCAAAAUAUCCCAGGCCUGUGCUGUACUGUUUGAACAUUUCAGGCCUGUAUCAAGCUGCAAGAUAAACUUAGCUCCCUUGCAGCUCCCACUUAGAACCAGCAAUUAACGCCAUCUGCAUGGCCUUGCCUCUAUCUAAACUGCAGCAAGAAGAAAAAAAAAAAAAAAAAAAAAAAGAAG